AUUGAACGCUGGCGGCAGGCUUAACACAUGCAAGUCGAGCGGAGAUGAGGUGCUUGCACCUAAUCUUAGCGGCGGACGGGUGAGUAAUGCUUAGGAAUCUGCCUAUUAGUGGGGGACAACAUUCCGAAAGGAAUGCCAAUACCGCAUACGUCCUACGGGAGAAAGCAGGGGAUCUUCGGACCUUGCGCUAAUAGAUGAGCCUAAGUCGGAUUAGCUAGUUGGUGGGGUAAAGGCCUACCAAGGCGACGAUCUGUAGCGGGUCUGAGAGGAUGAUCCGCCACACUGGGACUGAGACACGGCCCAGACUCCUACGGGAGGCAGCAGUGGGGAAUAUUGGACAAUGGGGGAAACCCUGAUCCAGCCAUGCCGCGUGUGUGAAGAAGGCCUUAUGGUUGUAAAGCACUUUAAGCGAGGAGGAGGCUACUGAGACUAAUACUCUUGGAUAGUGGACGUUACUCGCAGAAUAAGCACCGGCUAACUCUGUGCCAGCCGCCGCGGUAA
rnacentral:rRNA from 1 species